GCCUUCGUGGUAUAGUGGUCAGCACGCUCGACUCGUAUUCGAGAGAUCCAUGGUCGAGAGAUCCGAGGGCCCAAACUAAAAAGGUGGUGGAUGAUGAUUCUCUACCACCAGGAUUUGGCGAUUGGGUCCCCAGUCGUGCUUCGCGGUGUAGUGGUCAGCGCGUAUUCGAGAGGUCCGUGGUUCGAGUCCCGGCGAGGGCA
rnacentral:tRNA from 1 species